rnacentral:lncRNA from 1 species
CAUACACACAUAACCCCUGCACUCACACACAUAACCCCCACACACACAUAACCCCUGCACUCACACACAUAACCCCUGCACUCACACACUUUCACACACACAUAUGCAGUCACACAUAUGCACAGCACACACACAUCUCACAUGCACAGUCACAUGCACACACCCAAACACACUCACAGUCACACACACAUCCACACUCACCCAGUCACAUCCACACAUGGCAUGAAGUCACACAUACAUCCACACACAUUCACGUAUACUCACACAUACAUCCUCAGUCACACACACACACCCUCACACACACACCACACAGCCACACACAUACAUCCACAUGCAUGUACACUCACAGUCACCUACAGUCACACAUACCUAUACAUACAAAAUACACAGUCACACACACACACUCAUACACACACACACCCUAACAGAACGGCACACAUGACUUUUUGCUCAAAGCCAGCCAGCUCUCUGCAGCCUUCUGCUGCCUGAGCCUCUCAUCCUGGAGGGCGCAUCUCCGAACACCACAGUGCGGGAAGGACCCGGUGGCCCCCAUGGCAGGGGCUAUCCAGCCCCAGGGGAGUGGGUGGCAAGGGCAGAGUGAGCAGCUGCCCUACUUCCCAAGGGGGCCUCAAGCCCACUGGACGGAACAG